GAUGAUGUGGCAGGAAACCAUUGGUUGAUACAUGUCGUCGGGUAGGAACUCAACCAGUGUGUGAGGUGUACCAUUUCUGCAUUGGUUGAUACAUGUCGCUGGGUAGGAACUCAACCAGUGUGUGAGGUGUACUAUUUCUGCAUUGGUUGAUACAUGUCGCUGGGUAGGAACUCAACCAGUGUGUGAGGUGUACCAUUUCUGCUUCCAUUUCCCCAGGAAGUACCGGACUUCCUCCUCGUUUUGGUUCAUCCGAGGAUCGAACUGAAUAAAAAGGUGUUUGUAGACCAUACAAGUGAAUAAACAAACAAAACAACAUUCUCUGUUUUCUAUUUUAUUUGGGUUUCCAUGUCUGAUGUCCGACACACUCAAACCAACCACAGUACAGAGGGGAAGUGAGGUGAAGUGGAAGUCGUCUCUAAGCCAGACGUUUUCUGAACUCAGUUCUGGGGAUCUCAAAGUUAGGGUUUUUGGUCCUAAUAUAACAUAUACCAUUCGGCAGACGCUUUUAUCCCACACAUGCAUACAUUUUACGUACGAGUGGUCCCGGGAAUCAAACAGACUACCCUGGCGUUUACAAGCGCCAUGCUCUACCAACUGAGCUACAGAGCACUACACAGCUGUUUCAAAUAAGCAAAGCUUGAUAUUGUGUUGAUUAUUUGAAAUAGUCCGUAAUGCUAGGGCCACAAAAGAAACAUGCACCCCUUGGGGUUCCCAGGAAAGACAUUGUGAUCCAGGGUCAGGUAUGUUUUCCUUCCACUAAAGGUUAAGGUUAAUAUUGAGGGUUUUACAGUCAUCUUUACUAGGCAAAAUCUGGUUAAAUCAACGUUGUUUCAACAACAACAUCUAUGUGAUGACAUUGAAUGAAACGAUGUGGAAAAUGACUUCCCUUCAGGGUUAGGGGUCAAUUCCCAUAUCAACUCCAGUCAAUUCAGGAAGUACGUUGAAAUUUCCAUUCUCGCCCAUGAGAAACAUUUGGAAUUUGAUUUACUUUCGGAAUUAAAACCGAAUUUGAGGGCAACCCUGCUUCUCUACAGGUCGGUACAAAGACUACAACUCUGCUUCUCUACAGGUCGGUACAAAGACUACAACCCUGCUUCUCUACAGGUCGGUACAAAGACUACAACCCUGCUUCUCUACAGGUCGGUACAAAGACUACAACCAUGCUUCUCUACAAGUCGGUACAAAGACUACAACCCUGCUUCUCUACAGGUCGGUACAAAGACUACAACCCUGCUUCUCUACAGGUCGGUACAAAGACUACAACCCUGCUUCUCUACAGGUCGGUACAAAGACUACAACCCUGCUUCUCUACAGGUCGGUAACAAAGACAGUAUAUGAGUGAGAGAUGCAACACUUCUGAUUUUAUAAAACAGGACAAAAGUUGUUCAACACGGUUUUUGUUGCAAGACAAACGCAAAUUAUUU